rnacentral:rRNA from 1 species
AUACGGAGGGUGCAAGCGUUGUUCGGAAUUACUGGGCGUAAAGCGCGCGUAGGUGGUCUGUUAUGUCAGAUGUGAAAGUCCACGGCUCAACCGUGGAAGUGCAUUUGAAACUGGCAGACUUGAGUACUGGAGGGGGUAGUGGAAUUCCCGGUGUAGAGGUGAAAUUCGUAGAUAUCGGGAGGAAUACCGGUGGCGAAGGCGACUACCUGGCCAGAUACUGACACUGAGGUGCGAAAGCGUGGGGAGCAAACAGGAUUAGAUACCCCUGUAGUCC